rnacentral:misc_RNA from 1 species
GUGUUUCGCGCCGCAUUCACCCAUAAAACGGUGUUUGGGUAGGCGACCCACGACGUGAUGCCCCGUUGUCUCGGGUACGGAAUAUCGGGUGGGUUCGAGGCAUCGUCCUCCGAUCACCACAGAAAUGCGUUCUACGCUCGAUGCGAACGACGGCCGCAUACGACCUUCGGCGGAGCACUCGUUGUUCGGCCGAAUUCGUGUCGGCGUCGGUGAGGGAUGC